rnacentral:rRNA from 1 species
UACGGAGGGUGCAAGCGUUAAUCGGAAUUACUGGGCGUAAAGCGCACGCAGGCGGCUUUUUAAGUCGGAUGUGAAAGCCCCGGGCUCAACCUGGGAAUUGCAUCUGAUACUGGAAAGCUAGAGUAUGUGAGAGGGGGGUAGAAUUCCAAGUGUAGCGGUGAAAUGCGUAGAGAUUUGGAGGAAUACCAGUGGCGAAGGCGGCCCCCUGGCACAAUACUGACGCUCAGGUGCGAAAGCGUGGGGAGCAAAC